rnacentral:rRNA from 1 species
UACGUAGGGUCCGAGCGUUGUCCGGAGUUACUGGGCGUAAAGCGCGCGCAGGCGGCGGUGCUGGCCCGGCGUGAAAGCCCCCGGCUCAACCGGGGAGGGGCGUCGGGGACCGCACCGCUUGAGGGCGGUAGGGGCUGGUGGAAUGCCUGGUGUAGUGGUGAAAUGCGUAGAGAUCAGGCGGAACACCCGUGGCGAAGGCGGCCAGCUGGGCCGUACCUGACGCUGAGGCGCGAAGGCGUGGGGAGCGAACGGG